rnacentral:rRNA from 1 species
UGGGGAAUAUUGCACAAUGGGCGAAAGCCUGAUGCAGCGACGCCGCGUGAGGGAUGACGGCCUUCGGGUUGUAAACCUCUUUCAGCAGGGACGAAGCGCAAGUGACGGUACCUGCAGAAGAAGCACCGGCUAACUACGUGCCAGCAGCCGCGGUAAUACGCAGGGUGCAAGCGUUGUCCGGAAUUACUGGGCGUAAAGAGUUCGUAGGCGGUUUGUCGCGUCGUUUGUGAAAACCAGCAGCUCAACUGCUGGCUUGCAGGCGAUACGGGCAGACUUGAGUACUGCAGGGGAGACUGGAAUUCCUGGUGUAGCGGUGAAAUGCGCAGAUAUCAGGAGGAACACCGGUGGCGAAGGCGGGUCUCUGGGCAGUAACUGACGCUGAGGAACGAAAGCGUGGGUAGCGAACAGG